rnacentral:rRNA from 1 species
UACGUAGGGCGCAAGCGUUGUCCGGAAUUAUUGGGCGUAAAGAGCUCGUAGGCGGCUUGUCGCGUCGAAUGUGAAAACUCGGGGCUCAACUCCGAGCUUGCAUUCGAUACGGGCAGGCUAGAGUUCGGUAGGGGAGAAUGGAAUUCCCGGUGUAGCGGUGAAAUGCGCAGAUAUCGGGAGGAACACCGGUGGCGAAGGCGGUUCUCUGGGCCUUACCUGACGCUGAGGAGCGAAAGCGUGGGGAGCGAACAGG